CAAGCCGAUGGAGAUCGCCGGCGCUGAGCGUCGGAGCACAGCUCGUGAAAGCCGGGAGGUAUCCGACCCAGCCCAGAUCCUGGAGUCGCCCGGUCGGCGUCGGCUCGCAGAGAUGCAGCCCAGCCACGGUCGCCGUAAUGGAACCCAGCGGUGGCCUGAACAGCUUCGGCGCAGGUGUAUGUAGUAGAGCCGGACUAGAGAUAGUCGUGGUAUGUGAUCGAUGAAGUUAAAUCCUGCUGGUGAUACUGCACCACAGCGGCGCGGCGGCAACAGCCCAAAUUUGCACGAUCCGGCCGGACGCAGCUAUACAUGGCUGAUCUCAGGUAUGUGACUCGUUGUUCCUUUUCCAAUUAGGCCAACACCUAUUGAUCAAUCGAUGCACUUCCAAGGAGCAUCAACUAGCCUGGUGAAGUCGAUUGCUAAGAGAUACGAGAAAGUUAUGCGUGGGAUAUCUCCUAGAUGCACCUGUUGGGGCACAAAAUCUACAUGGUCAUCGUACUAAUUGGUAGCUGUUAGGUGCCGCUCGCGCUGUCUGAUGAUAUCAUGCAAAUUCUUGAUCUAUUCCUAAUUAAUUUGUUUUCGUACUCAUAUGACUAAUUCUGUUGAAACUAGUUUCUUCCGGUUCCUAGCUAUAUAUUUCUCACAAAUGAAAGUAAUUCUUCAAGUUAAAAUUAUAAUUUAUUGCUUAAGUAGUACUUUGAGUCUUAGAUUGGCUCAAUGAUUAAGAGAGAGGAAAAAUCUAUUGCUGUUUCAAGCAAUGGAAAUCAUUUGGUGUAAUUCAUCUGUCUAAUUUCUGACAGUAAGCCAAUCUAAUUUCUACUUUAGUUAAUCUAAGUAUAUAAGGCAUUUGUCCAAUUUUGUUUUUAACUUUAACAAGUACAAAAUCCUUUGUUCUUACUUUCAUCUUUGUCUCCCGUGCUCAUGUACAUACAGCCAAAGUAGAUUAGGCCCCUGCUAAGUAUUGAAGAGUUGUAUGUCCAACCAUUGGGAAUCCUUCAGCGGUACUUAAAAAAAUACUUAUGAUUUGUUCUUUGGCGGUACAUGAAAAAAUACUUAUGAUUUGUUCUUUCUGUUACCGUGGGGUUGGAAAGGAUGCUAAUUGCGGUAAUCACUUUUGUCAAGAGAGUACUGUUUGAUUAAUGUUUUUAGUUCUGUUAAUUAAAGAACAAAAAGUAGACAAGUAAUCAUGUGUGUCUAUGUUUUGUUGUUAAACGUCUAUACAGUAAAAUUUCCCCUGGAUUGCAUGCUUUUGUGGUGUUGCGCUAUUUUUCAUAAAGUAGAUGCAUGGUAGCAAAAUUUCUUUCUUGACCAGACAGAUUGAAAACUAUGUACUCGUGUAUGUUCCGGGAAUGUACAAUUCCAGUAUGAAAUGUACAAAAAAAAAAUUAAUAGGGAUCUGGCGCAGAACCAACUUAUAUGUGACAUUUCAAAGCUUAUCUAUCGAAAUGAAGUUCUGCAUACAUGUAAGUUACCCUGCCCUACACCACAUAGUUUUUCCUUUCUAUUUACCCGAUCGGUAAUAGGAGAAGAUACUAGCAUUUUGUCAUAUUUAUCUUCAUAGGUUUCAGCGGUAAUUCACUUACUGGAACCUUGUCACCUGAUUUGUGCUAGCUGACUUGCACGCGGUAAGUUCUAUCUUACUCGGAGAUGCUGCUUCAUAUCAUGUUAAUUAAUCUUCAUUUAGGAAAUACAGGUACAUUCCAUAUUACCAAAAUUUUCAGAAAAAUGCCAUACAACAUAGGUUUCUUUCUGGCAGCCACAGUGUAAUCUCUUCUGAUUUCGUGCAAAUUUCAUAUACUUUACCUUUUGUACUCUUACAAUAUAUUGUUAUAUACACAUUCCGACUUAAGCUUCAUUUUUUCAUUUUUGUUUAGCAGAUCCAUAAGAUGAACAUAAGCUAUUGAAAUGUACUUGUAUGGUCCACCAUGGUGCAUUGAUUAAUUAACUAUAUCAGUUACAUAUGCUUGGUAAGAUAGGUAUCACCUAUCAGUUUAUUACCGAUGAAAUUCUUAGCUUCGUUUACUUACAAAUGCUUUGGAGGUGAGGGAAUGCACUUAUUUGGUUCAUGUAUGUUUUUAGUUUAUUUCUUGGUUAGCGUCAAGUUGAAUUGAUUGGUGCACUGAAACAAUUACAAAUGCUUAGGAAGGGAAUUAUCAUCCAACGGUUUAUUAGUGAUGACAUUUCUAGCUAUUAGUCUUUCCAACAAGUUUCAUUUUGUUUAUUUCAGUUUUGAAUACUGUUAUUUGCACAUGACUAUAUAAAAAUCUAGAACAUAACUAUUAAUUAUCCUCUUGGAAAAUAAAAUUCAUGUUAUCUUGCAAGUGAAGUUUUUCCCUUCCAUACCAUAUAUGCAACUGGAAAUAGAAGGAAGGUGAAGGAUAUAUAUUACGAAAUCCAUCUGCACCAGUGAAUGAUACCACCCAGUCGGUCAAUUUACAUGACUUAAUUCUCACAACCAAUAAAUAAAAUUUAUUUAUGCUGCAUAAACCUCCCUCUAUGAACAUUUGUGUGUAGCUACAAGCCGAUCCAACCUCAGAUUAGAAGGGCUGGUACGAGCGAGACUAUCGAAGGUAAGCGUGUCACUACUAUGCCUGCCAUUUAUUAAAGCAAAGCGACGCACAUAUAUCCAUUAUUAGUGAUGUAAAAAUACAAUCAGCUGGGUUGGAGUAGUGUACCUCAUGGGUGGAGUUGUAUCAGAAGCCCUUAGAGCUACCUUUAAUGAAAUUAUUAUGAAGAGAACCGUUGUUAGACUAAACUUGAUAUCCAUGAUGUACUAUGUGAGCCCUUAAAGGUAUCUUGCCCAACGGCUCUCUAGAUUAAUCGCGAGAUCAUUCCCUGGUUAUUCCUAGAAGCCAAAGAUGGAUGCAAGUGUUUCAUGGAACUUCCCGCCAGUUACAUUGUUCUUAAACUGCAUGUGCACUUUCGUACUUAACAUAUCAGUUUUCCAUUGUAGCUAUCCCAUGUGUGCAUCUUGUAAUAAGCCCUGUUACCUCUUUGAAGUUCAGAGUAAAAAAUUGUGUAUUAAUAUCCCUUGAUAAAAGAGCAUUAUUGAUGGGCAUUAUUUUUCUUGAAUUUCAUGCUGUUAUGACCAAAUUAAUGAAAUUCAUACUCUGAUACUUGAUAAAUGAGCACCCGCAACUAUUUUCUAUCAAAUCACAUGCAAGAAUGAACUAUUAUUUAUGUUGUAGUCAUAGUACUUCUUGUGUUAGGAGAGUGUCAAGAAAUACUUUUAUUUUCUAAUGACAACUAGAAUCAGAUGCAAGGGUCUUUAUGUGCUGGCUACUAUGAUGGAUGCUAUAAAGAUAUUUGCUUAGACGAACAGUUUAAGUUUUCCCUAAUUUGUCGUUCAUGUAUGUACAUGUGUAUGAUAUCUAUAGGCUCCAGUCACCAAAUAAAGUAUGUUUCUCUUUUAGGCUAUAGUUACCAGGCUUGCAUUUUAGCAUCAUAUACAGUUUGUUUGCGAAGUUGCUACUUUUGUAUCUAAAGAAGAUAUAUAUUGGAAGCUUGUCACGUGAAACUGAUGCAAAUGCUUGGUUCUGUUUAUUCUUUCCAUCAUGAAUAAAUGCUAGGAAGACCACACCUGUGAGCAACAUCCAGCGGCCAGUCAAUUCCUCCCUUCCCUGCAACACUCUUGACCCUGGUGCUUUUGUUUGCUAAUAAUAAGAGGAUAUUGAAAUUCUAACAGAUGAAAAUAGAGCAUAUAAUAGGAUGUCCACCUGCUUCGUGAGAAUUUCCCUCUGAAAGCUAAGUUUCUUGAUCUUAUACUCCUUGGGCAAACUAUAUUGUUACUUAGGUAGUCAAUUUGGAGUGACAAAAUGAUCUGACUAGCUUGGAACCCUGAGAAUGCACUGCUGUGUAUGUUUUAAUGAACAUUGGACCUGAAGCGCUGUUAACAUUUUGGUGCGUGUUCAGUAAAAAGAAGUACUCAAAAGUACUGAGAGCAACGAGUUAAUACUCUACCAGUAGAAUAUGAUCUAUUGAUUUGAUGCAGCUAUAUUAACCCAGGCUAUACAUUUAUUUGAGCAGAUUCAUCGGAGUCUUAGUAAGUAUCUGUAUCCACAUGUUCAUCAAUCCCUUUUCCGUAAUAGGUUAUAUGUAUAGUGGGAUCCUGAAGUGGUCCUCAGGUCAUUUAGGUAGAUUAUGCACAUUUGAGUUCAUGGUGUGCACCAUCAUGUCUCCUGAAUGCCAUACAGUUCUAUCAUUUCACAAGGACAUUGCAUUUUCUGCAUUCAGGCCUGGGUUGACACAGCAAGGUAAAAAAAAAUUGGUCAGAGACUUAACUGGUCGUCCAAAUUUGAAAACACGAUAGAAAAUAGUAUGCUAUAAUUGGUAGUGUUACAGUUUAACAAACAAUAUUGGAGCACAUGAAAAUAGGUCGGCUUUGUCUGCCAUUCAUGUCAUAGCAGUUGCCUUUUUUUCCUUUACUUAACUCGGGAGGGUUAUUUAUUUUUAAAAAAGAAUAAUCGGGAGAUGUGAUGUGAUUGUCUUGAAUUUAUCAUCUUUCAGGCAAAGAAAUUGAUAUUUUUUAGAACCAGAGAGAGAUGGGUCGACAGAGAUAGAGAAAUUUAUAUAGAUAGAGAUUCAGCCAGUGGGAUGCUUCGCCAGGACCUCCAUCGACAUCAGUCUCUCCACCGCAUGCCUCCCCCAAGCUGCGUGCUCCACCACCCAACGGCCAGCGGCCAGCGCGUCUACCAGGCCAACGAGAUCAUCGCUGUCUCCAACAACAUCAACCGCAGAUCAGCAGUGUCUGCAUGCACCCCUCGGGUGCUAAGUUUCCUAAUUUUACAUGUGCAACUCUGGUAACUCAGCUGGAUUGGUGAAUCUGUACUAGAUAGUUCUUAUUCAUUACACAUUUGAAUGUCAUUACACAUUUGAAUGUGCUCAUUUUUUUUUCUUCAAAAGUUGCCUGCUCAUAAUAGAAUUACUCUUCGCAUCCAUGCUUCACUCCAUGUGAUGAAGCUAUGCAUGUCUCAAGUGUAAAUUCCGAAAAAAAGAUAAGGCUCAUGAGACAACAUAAUGGCUUUGUUUCCAUCCCUUUACCUAC